rnacentral:lncRNA from 1 species
UCCGAGUAAGAAGAAAAGACAGCGAUUAAGAUAAUCAUUCUUCCUUCCCUGAUUUUUAUUUUCAGAUCUAAAAUAUUUAUUUCAUAGCAUGUUUACAACGAUCCAUGGGUGAUUUUAGGAUUAGAUCCAAGCAUACUUUAGAUUAAAAUAGUUUUAAUCUUAUCUUUCCGCUGCAUAGUUUCAUAAGAUGAAAAAUCUACAUGUUAAUCACCUAGAAAUACAACAAGAAGAAUUGAAAGCUAAAGGGAGAAAAUGGAUAAUCAGCAACAGUAAA